rnacentral:lncRNA from 1 species
UGGGGCUGUAAAAGUUGGAUGUGGGUCGCUAUGGGUUGUUAGGGGUCACUAUGGGUCUCUGUGGGUCUCUAUGGGUCCAAUAUGGGUCUCUACGGGUACUUAUGGGUGGGAUGUGGGUCGCUAUGGGUCUCUAUGGGUUGUUAUGGGUCACUAUGGGUCUCUGUGGGUCUCUAUGGGGCUGUAAAGGUUGGAUGUGGGUCGCUAUGGGUCUCUGUGGGUCUCUAUGGGUCCCUAUGGGUGGGAUGUGGGUCGCUAUGGGUUGUUAUGGGUCACUAUGGGUCUCUAUGGGUCUCUAUGGGUGGGAUGUGGGUCACUAUGGGUCUCUAUGGGUUGUUAUGGGUCACUAUGGGUCUCUGUGGGUCCCUAUGGGUGGGAUGUGGGUCGCUAUGGGUCUCUAUGGGUCCGACGUGGGUCUCUAUGGGUCCCUAUGGGUGGGACGUGGGUCACUAUGGGUCUCUAUGGGUCUCUGUGGGUCUCUAUGGGUCCCUAUGGGUGGGAUGUGGGUCGCUAUGGGUCUCUAUGGGUUGUUAUGGGUCGCUAUGGGUCUCUAUGGGUUGUUAUGGGUCACUAUGGGUCUCUAUGGGUCCCUACGGGUGGGCUGUGGGUCGCUAUGGGUCGCCGUGGGGCAGGGAGCCGUGGUUCGAGGAGAACCGUGGGGCAGCCCUGGGCGGUGUGGGGCUGGCCGCCAGCUCGGGGCCCGGCGCCAUGAUGCAGCUGAAGGUGACGGCGCUGAUGAAGGCUGAGCUCUGCGUGAGUGGGGGGAAAGGGGGGAAAAAUGGGGAG